ACGCACGCUGGCGGCGUGCUUAACACAUGCAAGUCGAACGGAAAGGCCCCUUUGGGGGUACUCGAGUGGCGAACGGGUGAGUAACACGUGAGUAACCUGCCCUUGACUUCGGGAUAACUUCAGGAAACUGGGGCUAAUACCGGAUAGGAAUCCUUGCUGCAUGGUGGGGGUUGGAAAGCUUCGGCGGUUUUGGAUGGACUCGCGGCUUAUCAGCUUGUUGGUGGGGUAGUGGCUUACCAAGGCUUUGACGGGUAGCCGGCCUGAGAGGGCGACCGGCCACAUUGGGACUGAGAUACGGCCCAGACUCCUACGGGAGGCAGCGGUGGGGAAUAUUGCACAAUGGGCGGAAGCCUGAUGCAGCAACGCCGCGUGCGGGAUGACGGCCUUCGGGUUGUAAACCGCUUUCAGCAGGGGCGAAGCUUGUGGUGACGGUACCUGCAGAAGAAGCACCGGCUAACUACGUG
rnacentral:rRNA from 1 species